rnacentral:rRNA from 1 species
UCCUUGUCGGGUAAGUUCCGACCCGCACGAAAGGUGUAACGAGUGGAGCACUGUCUCAACAAGGGGCCCGGCGAAAUUGAAGUACGUGUAAAGAUGCGCGUUACCCGCAGCUGGACAAAAAGACCCUGUGGAGCUUUACUGUAGCCUGUCAUUGCGUUAGGAUCUUGCUUGUGUAGAAUAGCUGGGAGACUGGGAAGCCUGCUCGCUAGAGUGGGUGGAGUCGUCCGUGAAAUACCAGCCUGGCGAUAUUUUGACCCUAACCGCGCUGUAACAGCAGUCGGGACAGUGGCAGGUGGGCAGUUUGACUGGGGCGGUGGCCCCCCCACAAA